GCGACCUUGGUGUAGUGGUAACACAGCAGCUUGUGGAGCUGUUUUCACGGGUUCGAUCCCCGUAGGUCGCC
rfam:Candidatus Sungbacteria bacterium RIFCSPHIGHO2_02_FTLL_49_12 rifcsphigho2_02_scaffold_13667, whole genome shotgun sequence.